GGCGGCGUAGCUCAGUGGUAGAGCGGUGUCUUCAUAAGGCAAUGGUCGCAGGUUCGAACCCCGCCGCCGCCACCA
rnacentral:tRNA from 1 species